AUACCUUUCUCGGCCUUUUGGCUAAGAUCAAGUGUAGUAUCUGUUCUUAUCAGUUUAAUAUCUGAUACGUGAGCCAUGUGCUCACCUCGAUAUUAAAUUAAUUUUUUGUGUGGGAGGGCCCAUCCACGGUAGCUUGCUACCGGAGCCCUCGCACGUCGCCCUUGCGUUGCACUACUGCUCGGGCCUGGCGCACCCCUA
rnacentral:snRNA from 1 species